ACGAACGCUGGCGGCGUGCCUAAUACAUGCAAGUAGAACGCUGAAGGCGGAGCUUGCUUCUCUGGAUGAGUUGCGAACGGGUGAGUAACGCGUAGGUAACCUGCCUUGUAGCGGGGGAUAACUAUUGGAAACGAUAGCUAAUACCGCAUAAUAGUAGAUGUUGCAUGACAUUUGCUUAAAAGGUGCAAUUGCAUCACUACCAGAUGGACCUGCGUUGUAUUAGCUAGUUGGUGGGGUAACGGCUCACCAAGGCGACGAUACAUAGCCGACCUGAGAGGGUGAUCGGCCACACUGGGACUGAGACACGGCCCAGACUCCUACGGGAGGCAGCAGUAGGGAAUCUUCGGCAAUGGACGGAAGUCUGACCGAGCAACGCCGCGUGAGUGAAGAAGGUUGUCGGAUCGUAAAGCUCUGUUGUAAGAGAAGAACGAGUGUGAGAGUGGAAAGUUCACACUGUGACGGUAGCUUACCAGAAAGGGACGGCUAACUACGUG
rnacentral:rRNA from 1 species